GAAGAGCUCUUCAGGAACAUCACGUCCAUACACAUAGAGAACUGGACAGGAUUGCAGAUUCUUAAGGAUGUCGACAUGGAAUUGUACACAGGACUCCAGAGACUGACAAUAAUAAACUGCAGUUUACGGACAAUCCAGGCACGUGCAUUUGCGCAGAACCCUCA